ACUGGUAUACAUGAAAUAAAAUGCAUCAUGAGCGCUGCAAAUAUGUUUGUCCUUCAUCCAUAUAUGGAGGGCGUCCUUUACAUGAAGAACUUUGCUGAAUAGAAAGGAGAAUACAGAAAUGUGUGAAACAGGUGCUCUGCCUCUCCCAAAGUGUGGGAUAUAUUACAAAUAUCCACAUCGUGACACAGAGCCAAAAAUUGUAGGAGAAAGUUACAGCUAUGCAACAAGCAUUUUUAAAGUUCAUGUUGUAAUAAUGAAUGAGAGAGAAGUCACUCUGGCAUGGAGGAAGGAACAGGUGGCCAAGAGAAGCUGCUGAAAGAAAAUGGCUUUUGAGCUAAAACUGGAGGAUGAGAACAAUUUGGAAAUAUGACAACAUUGGAAUACAUCAUUCUAGGAAAACGGAAGAAGUUUUUAAAAGGCCAUGAAAGAAGAUGGGAAGAAUUCCAGGUCAUCUACAAGAAAUAAACUUCUCUUUUCAAGUUGAUUGUUUCUAAAUCUAGCUCAACAUAAAGGAUCUUCACAGUUGGCUUUUCUUUCAGCACAACAUGAAAAUCCCAACCGCUUUUGAUUUGCCCAUACAAUCACUGCCUCUUCAGAACAUGGCGAUACAGACUGAAAGCUCUUUGAAUUUGCCAAAUGUUGCAUCCACAAAAAGAAGUGUUGUCAACAAGGAAACUACCUUAUUUGUCUUAAACUUUGAUUAGUUUGAAAGAUGUUACCAAUAAUUGAGGAGUUCCAGACUCUACUCUGAAACAUGCCUGCGGCCCAGAACUUCUAAUAUUUAUGGGGCAUGACCUCUGUCAGUGAUCACUUACUUUCCACAAAGGUAUUUUAGGGCAGAUGCUGAUUGCCUGAGGAGCCAAGAACAUAUUAAACUCCAGAUUCAAUACUGUCCUGGCCCUAGCCAGAGACUUCAUCUUCAUGUGGUAGGCUUCACCGUUGAUCACCAAUAGGUGACUCAGAAUUUAUCACAAAGUGUUGAGGAUAUCAAGACCGUCUAACACUCCAACAAAAACCAGAGCCUGGACCAUCCAAGGAACGACUGUGUCACUUGUAAAAACAUGGCCUUUCAGAAAUAUAUGAAAGACCAAACUUCACAGAAGUAUGAGUUGUUGAAGAAAACUGAAACAAAAUGA